AGCACCCUUUGGGUGUGACUGCGUACCUUUUGUAUAAUGGGUCAGCGACUUAUAUUCUGUAGCAAGGUUAACCGAAUAGGGGAGCCGGAGGGAAACCGAGUCUUAACCGGGCGUUAAGUUGCAGGGUAUAGACCCGAAACCCGGUGAUCUAGCCAUGGGCAGGUUGAAGGUUGGGUAACACUAACUGGAGGACCGAACCGACUAAUGUUGAAAAAUUAGCGGAUGACCUGUGGCUGGGGGUGAAAGGCCAAUCAAACCGGGAGAUAGCUGGUUCUCCCCGAAAGCUAUUUAGGUAGCGCCUCGUGAAUUCAUCUCCGGGGGUAGAGCACUGUUUCGGCUAGGGGGCCAUCCCGGCUUACCAACCCGAUGCAAACUGCGAAUACCGGAGAAUGUUAUCACGGGAGACACACGGCGGGUGCUAACGUCCGUCGUGAAGAGGGAAACAACCCAGACCGCCAGCUAAGGUCCCAAAGUCAUGGUUAAGUGGGAAACGAUGUGGGAAGGCCCAGACAGCCAGGAUGUUGGCUUAGAAGCAGCCAUCAUUUAAAGAAAGCGUAAUAGCUCACUGGUCGAGUCGGCCUGCGCGGAAGAUGUAACGGGGCUAAACCAUGCACCGAAGCUGCGGCAGCGACACUGUGUGUUGUUGGGUA
rnacentral:rRNA from 1 species